AGCAGUAUGGUGUAGCGUGCACACGGGGCUCUCUUAGGAUGAGAUAGUAGUACACCCGGAGGUCCUCGUUCGAAUCGAGGUACUGCUC